rnacentral:lncRNA from 1 species
CUAGGAGCUGACAAGCAAUUCCACUGGGUUAUAUUAUUAUCAUUCAAAUGUAUUUCUUUAAAUUAUCAUUCAAAACCUAUUUCUGUAUAGUUCAUUUUUGAAAGAGUAAUCUUUUAAAAACCAAAACCCCAAAUCAUAUACCCAUAUAAACAAGUGAUCUGUCAUAAGUUUUUUUCUGCAUUUCUGCUUCCACAGUUCUUCCUCUGGAUGUGGAUAGUGUUCUUUCUCACAAGUCCCUCAGAAUUGUCCUGGAUCAUGGCAUUGCUGCCAGUAGAGAAGUUCAUUACAUUCGAUUGUACCACAAUGUAUCCAUCUCUGUGUACAAUGUUCUCCUGGUUCUGCUCCUCUCACUUUGCAUCAGUUCAUUGAGGUCCUCCCAGUUCAUAUAGAAAUGCUCCAGAUCAUUAUUCCUUUGAGCACAAUAGUAUUCCAUCCCCAAUAUGUACCACAAUUUGUUCAGCCAUUCCCCAGUUGAGGGACAUCCUCUCUCUUCUGAUUUUUUCCACCCAGGUUUGUCUUUUAAGGGCUACCAGGACAUUGUUCAUCCUUUUUCCAGACAAUUUCAAAGCCUUUUCCAUUUCAGACAACUUUUUCCUGUCUUAUAAGCUGGAUGACAGUAUAGUUAGGGCACUGUGCUCUAUUACUGCAUUACUUCAUCGCCUCUGCUUUCUGAUUAUAUUUACUAGCGGAGGGGACAGAGAAACCAAAUUCCCACCCUAACCAUCACCUCAACAGCAAGAUCCCAGAGGAUGAUUUUAUCCUUUUGAGGAUGAAUCAGCAUGAUUGAACAUGACUUUUACUUGGAGAACUUAAGUUUCUGCAGUGUGAUUGUGUAUACAAGGUAAAUGAGACAUCCAUUCCGCCCCCUCCAAGUCAGCCCGGCCCGCUAACGUCGGAUUCCAUCCUUAAUGCCUCUCUCCUACUGACUCAUCCUAGCCAGCCCGCAGUACUUCUGUCCGGGCUCGCAUUUCGGCUGCCUUCUCUUCUCUGCUACUGCCAUCCCCUGGUCAUUGCACCGCCCGACUCAGGUUCGCACUGCCAGUUGUUCUUCCUGCCCCGAGGCGCUCUCUGCUGCACUCCAUUGCCCGAGGGACCUUCCGGAAGUGCAUGUGGAUUCAACGAGCUCCGGGGAUGUCCCGCGACCUCCAGCAUCCAAUAUAAACCACUCCCGUUGUCAGUUGCGCCCCCCACAGCCCACCCCUUCCUUCCCUCUCAGGCUUUCCCAUCCCGCCGCAGUGGCGUCGCUGCUCCUCGCGUUAGGGGGCAGAUGAGAACAAUGUUCCAGUGGCCAUAAAGGAGACUCUGUGGAGUACUGAGAGCCGGGUUAGAGAGCAAAGAAGCCAAGGCCAUGGGCUUCAUCAUGAGCCGUCACCACUUGGGCUUGCCGCUGUACUUGGAUGGUCCUGGAAGAGAACGUGAGGCCAAUGACUUUGCAUAAUAAUUCUGUCUCAGUCAAUACAAUUUGUACAUGAAUCAUACAUAAUGCAGGUCCAUCACAAUGGUGUCAUUUUGAUCCUUUGAGUACAAAGGACAACAACUAAUUACACACACACAUAUAUAUUAAUUAUAUUGCCAAUCUCUUGGUUGUAUAUAGUUGUUGGCAGGUUUUUUUCUCCCAUUAGACUAUGAAUUCCAUAUAUUUAUCUUUCGUGUGUGUCCCCUUGCCGUCAAGCAUAGUUCAUGGCAUGGUAAAGUGCUAGAUCAAUGCUUAGUGACUGAUCAAUCUUUGAAGAUAAGGGCAUAAUAUCAUAACCAUCAUUAAUAAAUGAAAGAUGCAUGUCUUCCUUAACA